UAUAAUAAAAAAGAAGGUGCAGUAUCCUAGUCAUCAAAGUUAUACUGGAAGGUGAUUUAUAAAGCAUCGACGGGCAUAUCUGUGAAGUUCUUUGUGUUUGCUUUGGUUGCCCAAACUGGGGCAGAUGCUGAGAGUUAAGAUUUUUGGGCGGGUUAUAAUGGCAUAUAGUCUUUACCCCAUUAAUCGUGGAGACCUAUUUUGGUGAAAACAAUUGUUUUUACUAUUUAGGCGUGAACCUGCAUAUGACAAACAUUGUGUGCAGUGUAGCCUGCCUUGAGUGAAUGUUUGGGAAUAUAGCGAUUAAAACAUACUUAAAUUUUAAGCGCUUAAUAUAAGUAUUGUUGUGUUAUUGAAACAGCAUUUGCAAAAUUGGCUAAGGUGUAAUGAUGGUGUUUGGGAAAACCUCUAGGCUGUUGAUAUAAAAUAUAUGUCAGGCAUAUUAAGGAUUAUAGUGCGCUCUUAGUGGCGAUUCGGUGAAAGGUUUGUAGUUAAAAGGAAACUGCUUUUUUGGUGACAAAAAGUCUUAUAAAUGGGAAAUCCAACCGAACCUAUGUCGCAAGGUUUACUUAGUAUACCGCCUUCUUAAUUUG
rnacentral:sRNA from 1 species